rfam:Candidatus Taylorbacteria bacterium RIFCSPHIGHO2_12_FTLL_45_16 rifcsphigho2_12_scaffold_21, whole genome shotgun sequence.
AGCCUAAACCAGUAAAAUGGCAUGGCAAAAAGACCAGUGGCGAUCAGAGAACCCAUCGUGGGGACUGUCGUCACUGGCCAUGUCGGGAAACCGGCAUGGAAGGCUUCGAGCCUUC